rnacentral:rRNA from 1 species
GACGUAGGAGGCGAGCGUUGUCCGGAUUCAUUGGGCGUAAAGAGCGCGCAGGCGGCUUGGUAAGUCGGAUGUGAAAUCCCGAGGCUCAACCUCGGGUCUGCAUCCGAUACUGCCCGGCUAGAGGUAGGUAGGGGAGAUCGGAAUUCCUGGUGUAGCGGUGAAAUGCGCAGAUAUCAGGAGGAACACCAGUGGCGAAGGCGGUGCUCUGGGCCGGAACUGACGCUGAGGAGCGAAAGCGUGGGGAGCAAACAGG